GAGAUACUAGUAAAAUAGCAUAUUACACCGCCUUGUCAAGGCCGAAUCGCGGGUUAAACCCCCGCGUAUCUUC
rnacentral:tRNA from 1 species